ACGGAAGGCAGCAGUGGGGAAUAUUGCACAAUGGGCGCAAGCCUGAUGCAGCGAUGCCGCGUGAGGGAAGAAGGUUUUCGGAUUGUAAACCUCUGUCAUCGGGGACGAUAAUGACUGUACCCGAGAAGGAAGCUCCGGCUAACUACGUGCCAGCAGCCGCGGUAAUACGUAGGGAGCGAGCGUUAUCCGGAAUUACUGGGUGUAAAGGGAGUGUAGGCGGGACUGUAAGUCAGAUGUGAAAUAUACCGGCUCAACUGGUAGACUGCAUUUGAAACUGCGGUUCUUGAGUGAAGUAGAGGUAAGCGGAAUUCCUAGUGUAGCGGUGAAAUGCGUAGAUAUUAGGAGGAACAUCAGUGGCGAAGGCGGCUUACUGGGCCGUAACUGACGCUGAGGCGCGAAAGCGUGGGGAGCGAACAGGAUUAGAUACCCUGGUA
rnacentral:rRNA from 1 species